rnacentral:rRNA from 1 species
GACGAACGCUGGCGGCGUGCUUAACACAUGCAAGUCGAACGGAAAGGCCCUGCUUUUGUGGGGUGCUCGAGGGGCGAACGGGUGAGUAACACGUGAGUAACCUGCCCUUGACUUUGGGAGAACUUCAGGAAACUGGGGCUAAUACCGGAUAGGAGCCCCUGCUGCAUGGUGGGGGUUGGAAAGUUUCGGCGGGUGGGGAUGGACGCGCGGCUGAUCAGCUUGUUGGUGGGGUAGUGGUAUACCAAGGCUUUGACGGGUAGCCGGCCUGAGAGGGUGACCGGCCACAUUGGGACUGAGAUACGGCCCAGACUCCUACGGGAGGCAGCAGUGGGGAACAUUGCACAGUGGGCGGACGCCUGAUGCAGCAACGCCGCGUGCGGGAUGACGGUUUUCGGGUUGUGAACCGCUUCCGCCUGUGACGAAGCGGGAGUGACGGUAACGAGUAAAGAAGCACCGGCUAACUACGUG